rnacentral:tRNA from 1 species
GUGUAAAAAGUAUUAUGUAUGUUAAGUUGUGGUCUUAGAGGUGAUUUGUCUUUACAUA